rnacentral:rRNA from 1 species
UACGUAGGGUGCGAGCGUUGUCCGGAAUUAUUGGGCGUAAAGGGCUCGUAGGCGGUCUGUCGCGUCGGGAGUGAAAACUCAGGGCUUAACCCUGAGCCUGCUUCCGAUACGGGCAGACUAGAGGUAUGCAGGGGAGAACGGAAUUCCUGGUGUAGCGGUGGAAUGCGCAGAUAUCAGGAGGAACACCGGUGGCGAAGGCGACAUCCUGGACCGGUAUUGACGCUGAGGCGCGAAAGCCAGGGGAGCAAACGGG